GAUGAACGCUGGCGGCGUGCCUAAUACAUGCAAGUCGAGCGAACAGACGAGGAGCUUGCUCCUCUGACGUUAGCGGCGGACGGGUGAGUAACACGUGGAUAACCUACCUAUAAGACUGGGAUAACUUCGGGAAACCGGAGCUAAUACCGGAUAAUAUAUUGAACCGCAUGGUUCAAUAGUGAAAGACGGUUUUGCUGUCACUUAUAGAUGGGUCCGCGCCGCAUUAGCUAGUUGGUAAGGUAACGGCUUACCAAGGCAACGAUGCGUAGCCGACCUGAGAGGGUGAUCGGCCACACUGGAACUGAGACACGGUCCAGACUCCUACGGGAGGCAGCAGUAGGGAAUCUUCCGCAAAGGGCGAAAGCUUGACGGAGCAACGCCGCGUGAGUGAUGAAGGUCUUCGGAUCGUAAAACUCUGUUAUUAGGGAAGAACAAAUGUGUAAGUAACUAUGCACGUCUUGACGGUACCUAAUCAGAAGGCCACGGCUAACUACGUG
rnacentral:rRNA from 1 species